UUGGUAAUUUGUAUUUAUCAUGAUUAUGACCAGGACUACGCGCACCGUAGUCACUGGUCGAGGGCGCUCGAGCUGACGGUGUCUUCCGACGGCUCCACGGUGACCAGCGCCGCCACCGCCGAGACCAUCCGACUCCUGAAAUGCUAACGGCCGUGCACGAACAAGAGGCUCAAAGCAUCCAGGUGCAAGGCAAGCGCCAUGCUCAGAGGAGUCAUCCGAAGAAGGCCGCACAGUGCACUUUAGGGUGAGCUCGGGUGUAGUGCGCGCCGACGGAUAGGAUGAAAUGACGGGCCGGCCAUCAGAUUUCAGUGCGGGGAUCAAGAUGGUCGGAGCCGAUGUGGCUCGGUUGAUGGUGUGGCAGGGUUGAUUGAGAGUGAAAGCGAGACACCCGGAUCUGUAAAGAAUACGCCGAUACGGGUCUCGAACGUCGUCUCGCAAUUUGUGCUCUGUAAUAUGACGGCUAUGCCGUGGUAUCAUUCACUCUCGGUGCGCUAAUAAAUAAUAAAUAGGACAGAGGCUGGAAUUAAGAUAUUAUAUUUGGAUGUAAGGGGCAGGUUUGGGCCAGCGCUAUUUUAGAAAUCGUGAGCGUGCUAGUUUCAAUCAAUCGUGCGCUUCUUGUUGAGCAUCUGUGAGCGAGAAAAUACUUUCUUUGGAACUUAGCAGUAAGCAGUUCGUCGUGAAAUAUUUGUAUCUUUGGAGUAAGUUGUCAGAACAUGAAUGCAUUUUUGGUGUCCACUGCAGCUGCUGUUCUGGAACAGAAACAUGCCGAGAUCGGCUGUGUUUGUAUGUUGUGGCAAAAUCAAGCAGCCGUACCAUGAAUCAAAAGCGAUAUGUGAAUUAAAGUGAAUAUAUUUCACUAUUUUUCAGUUUUAUCAUACAGAUCACAGAAAUGCGUCAAAUACUGAUCACACCCGGUUCCAAACAAAAACGCUUGCGAUCACUGGAAAAUAAAUAAACAAUAGAUACCCA